GAUGAACGCUGGCUACAGGCUUAACACAUGCAAGUCGAGGGGAAACGACGGGGAAGCUUGCUUCCCCGGGCGUCGACCGGCGCACGGGUGAGUAACGCGUAUCCAACCUGCCUCUGACUGAGGGAUAACCCGUCGAAAGUCGGCCUAAUACCUCAUGUUAUCGUCUGCGGGCAUCCAACGACGAUUAAAGAUUUCAUCGGUCAGGGAGGGGGAUGCGUCUGAUUAGCUUGUUGGCGGGGUAACGGCCCACCAAGGCUACGAUCAGUAGGGGUUCUGAGAGGAAGGUACCCCACAUUGGAACUGAGACACGGUCCAAACUCCUACGGGAGGCAGCAGUGAGGAAUAGUGAUCAAUGGGCGAGAGCCUGAACCAGCCAAGUAGCGUGCAGGAAGACGGCCCUAUGGGUUGUAAACUGCUUUUAUGCGGGGAUAAAGUGAGGGACGUGUCCCUCAUUGCAGGUACCGCAUGAAUAAGGACCGGCUAAUUCCGUG
rnacentral:rRNA from 1 species